CCUGUGCAGGAGACCAGGCUGUGAGGAAGGAAGGAGUGGCUGAUGUCCUGUGAGACGUCUUCUCAGGACUGAAGCCCAACCUUACAGUUAGGAGUUUUUAAACUUCCCACAGUGAGGCCAAGAGCUAAAGUGAUGGAAAUAUGCAAAUCAAUGAGUUGAUGGCGUUAUUGGUAUUUUUUCUGACGAAGAUUGGCCCUGAGCUAACAUCUGUGCCAGUGUUCCUCUAUUUUGUAUGUGGGACACGUCCACAGCAUGGCUGCCAAGGAGUGGUGCUAGGUUGGCACCUGGGAUCAGAACUGUGAACCCCGGGCCACCUAAACCGUGAGCAGGAACUUAACCGUUAUGCCACCUGGCCGGCCCCCUGCACCUCAGUUUUUUUUUAUCUGUAAACUAGGGAUGGAAUAGUACCCGCCUCACAGGAUUAUUUGAAGACAAAGUGAGUUUAUAGUAAGGUGUAUGGAAGAGUGCCUUUCACAUGGGAAAUGCUCAAACGUUAGCUUUGACACCCUUCUCCCAACGUCGCUCUCCAAAACAGAGUGCCCGUGUAACCUCCGGAAGUGUUUGUUGAAUGACCUCCCAUCAUCAGGAUGCGUAACAAAGUGGCAAUCCAGCAUCCUCCAGGUGUUCUUCUAGUUGUGGUAUGUGGGACGCUGCCUCAGCGUGGUCUGACGAGCAGUGCCAUG